rnacentral:tRNA from 1 species
CCUGGUGGCUCAGACGGUAAAGCGUCUGCCUACAAUGCGGGAGACCAGGGUUCAAUCCCUGGGUCAGGA